GGUAGUUAGUUUAGAAUAAUGACAAGGGUAAGCCGUGAUUUUGGAGAUACUAUGCAUAAACAUGCUCUCCCAGCUGUAUCAGCUGACGUUGUAUUUGCUUCAAGUCGUUUUCCUAAUUACAAAAUUGGAGCAAACAAUCAGAUUUUGGAUGCAAAGGAUGACCCAAAAGUGCUGACCAUGAAAGAGGUUGUGGCCCGCGAGACUGCAAUGCUUUU
rnacentral:misc_RNA from 1 species